rnacentral:tRNA from 1 species
GGGGCUGUAGCUCAGUGGUAGAGCACUUACCUAGCAUGUGUGAGGCCCUGGGUUUAAUCCCAGCACCUCA